AGUGGGUGAUGGUCAUUCUAUGAGUAUUCUACUUGAUGCAUGGAUAGCCAACAUCCUAUUGGUUCAUCGGCCGACAUAUAUUAGUAGGUAGGUGACCAAAACUAUAAGGGUUUGCGAUCUUCUCCACACCAAUGGUUGGGGUUGGAAGUCUAAUAUGGUGAUUAGUCAUUUUGGAGAACAAAUGGACCGACGAGUACUGAGGCUGGUGACCCCUCUUCACUAUGGUUUGAAUGUUAGAGU
rnacentral:lncRNA from 1 species